rnacentral:lncRNA from 1 species
ACACUCCCCCUCAAGCUUGACUCUAGCUGAUCCUAAGUCAAGCUUGGAACCUUGAAGAACUUCCUCAUUAAAAACCUCACCAAGGAAAACCCUUUGGGACAAAACCUUGAUGAGGGAAAAAGAGUAAAGUCUCCAAGGCCUAGGGAUUGGCCAGUGAGUCUUUGUGCCUUACCAACAAUGUAAGGGACACAAAGACUCUGGAUCAUGGCCUCUUCAUUCACCCCACGCCUUGCACUCUCCUUACUGCCUGAUCUUGAUCUCUC